rnacentral:rRNA from 1 species
UGAGGAAUAUUGGACAAUGGGCGCAAGCCUGAUCCAGCCAUGCCGCGUGCAGGAUGACGGUCCUAUGGAUUGUAAACUGCUUUUAUACGAGAAGAAACACUCCAACGUGUUGGAGCUUGACGGUAUCGUAAGAAUAAGGAUCGGCUAACUCCGUGCCAGCAGCCGCGGUAAUACGGAGGAUCCAAGCGUUAUCCGGAAUCAUUGGGUUUAAAGGGUCCGUAGGCGGUUUGGUAAGUCAGUGGUGAAAGCCCAUCGCUCAACGGUGGAACGGCCAUUGAUACUGCCAGACUUGAAUUACUGGGAAGUAACUAGAAUAUGUAGUGUAGCGGUGAAAUGCUUAGAGAUUACAUGGAAUACCAAUUGCGAAGGCAGGUUACUACCAGUGGAUUGACGCUGAUGGACGAAAGCGUGGGUAGCGAACAGG